GGAGCUCAGUGGUAGAGUACUUGCUUACCAAGUACAAGGGUCUGGGUUCAAUUCCCAGC
rnacentral:tRNA from 1 species